rnacentral:rRNA from 1 species
GAGGAGCCCGCGGCGGAUUAGCUUGUUGGUGAGGUAAUGGCUCACCAAGGCUUCGAUCCGUAGCUGGUCUGAGAGGACGAUCAGCCACACUGGGACUGAGACACGGCCCAGACUCCUACGGGAGGCAGCAGUGGGGAAUCUUGCGCAAUGGGCGAAAGCCUGACGCAGCGACGCCGCGUGCGGGAAGAAGGCCUUCGGGUUGUAAACCGCUUUCAGGAGGGACGAAGCCACUCGGGUUAAUAGCCCAGAGGGUGACGGUACCUCCAGAAGAAGCCCCGGCUAACUACGUGCCGGCAGCCGCGGUAAUACGUAGGGGGCUAGCGUUGUCCGGAUUUAUUGGGCGUAAAGAGCGUGUAGGCGGCCAGAUAGGUCCUCUGUGAAAACUCGAGGCUCAACCUCGAGAUGUCGGUGGAAACCAUCUGGCUAGAGUCCGGAAGAGGAGAGUGGAAUUCCUGGUGUAGCGGUGAAAUGCGCAGAUAUCAGGAGG